rnacentral:rRNA from 1 species
UACGUAGGGUGCGAGCGUUGUCCGGAAUUAUUGGGCGUAAAGGGCGCGUAGGCGGGAUGGCAAGUCGGUCGUGAAAUCCUUCGGCCCCAACCGAAGAACGUCGAUCGAUACUGCUGUUCUAGAGGAUUGCAGAGGAGACUGGAAUUCCCGGUGUAGCGGUGAAAUGUGUAGAGAUCGGGAGGAACACCGGUGGCGAAGGCGGGUCUCUGGGCCUUUCCUGACGCUGAGACGCGAAAGCGUGGGGAGCGAACCGG